AAGAAGGUGACAGAGCACCAGUGUUACAUUACUCAAGGUCAUCACUGGAUUUGUCAGUUUGCCAAGUUUUCCAGGCAGGGACACAGUGUAGAGAUCUCCACCUGAGCCACUGCAGAGCAUUGUGGGUAACCAUCUUUUCCAUCACCAACCACUCCUGUGCGAUCGUUACAGAUGCUCAGACUUCCUGUGUUCAUCAAUCAAGAAAACCAAAGAGAAUACAGAUGCACAAGGCAUGACUUCUGGAUAUUGACAGAGACUGAAACAGCAAUGAUCUCUAAGGGGCCUAAUAG